CUUCACUCUCCAUUUCUUCUAUCCCCAAAAAGCUACUCUGUCUCUCUUUCACAAAAAACCCUAAUCCCCAAAUCCCAGUUUCACCCAAAAUUCAAUAUAUUAAGCCAUUUAUUCGAUGCGAUAUAACAAGGUCUAAAUGAACAGAUGCCAAUCGGAGAAAAGGAAGCUUAAGUCAAUAUAACAUAUUAAACCAUUUAUCCGAGGUCCGUUUUCGGUUGUUGUUGUUGUUUCUGGUGGUGGUGAUAGUGUGAAUUUGUUCUAAGAGGCGUGGGAGGUCUGUGUCUAAGAAUAAUGACGGUGAUGAUGCUGGUAGUGCAGAUAGGGUUGUUUCGGAUAGUGAUUGAGGAAAAGGCGGUCUAUUUCGGUUGUUCAACAUCAGAUUAGUGGCUCCGAGAUCCAGAGGAAGAACGUCGAUGGAUGGCUCAAGAAGUACGCAGUUACGUUGAAGCAGUUCUCAACACCCUUGCUGCCAAUGUCCAAAGGUGCAGUUGUUCAUUGCCAAGUAGAAAAGGCUAAAGAAGAUAGCUCAAUAAACUAGUUUUAUAAAAGUGGAAAGAAAGAAUGCGUGGCUAAAUCUGCAGCUGAAACUAAACCUCAAGCUGUUAUGCUGAAAUAACGUCAGGCUUAUGUGGUUUGAACUUAGAACAUGUUUAAAAAAAUUCUUAGUGCUUACAAAUUUUUUUCAUCUGGUUUAUCAAAUUUUCACUUGAAUGAUGAUCAAAGUUUGACUUUUCAUGGUUAAAUGUUCACCUUCAAAUGC
rnacentral:lncRNA from 1 species